CUACACGGAGACUUCCAGCAGCCCCCUCUCUGAGGCCGAGGAGUCUUGUUCAAAUACUGUCUGACUGAGAGAUAAUUAUGGGGGAAAUGCCAAUUCCACAUUUCAUAUCUCUGCACUUUAGUACUGUCAGAGCCCCACGGAGACGGGAUACGAAAGGAACAGUCUGACAGGCGAGGGAGGGGAGCCGUGCAGUCCUGGAACUGCGCCAGGCAAUGUGGAAGUCAUUGAGAUUUACCAGCAUCAUUUCCAUAAUCGUUUUUGGAUGCACAACAGCUGAAGAUUGUGCCUGGAUUCCCCUUUGCAAGCAUUCUGGAGUCACAACAUCGGCAUAGAAGGUGGCCAGCCUUCGGCUUUUGCAGUCGUUUGUGGAGUCUUUAUGGAAGAGCAGCGUGGUCAAGAGACCACGGCUGCGUAACCCCGUCUGCAGUAUGUGAGGCCGGAGUGCUGACCCUGGACCUGCCCAGUCAUGCCUUCUCGGUCAGCUGUUCAUCUCAUCUGCUACCACGGCAAAUACUUGGACUCAAGAGCAAGGAAUGUCCUGAAGACUUGCACAGGGAAAAGUAUUGGAGCUUGGAUUAAAUACAGAUUAACAACAACAACAACAACAACAAAAGCCAGGCUCAGAAAGACAGGGACAAAGAAACAGAAAGGAAGUUAAAAACAAACCACAGGACUGAGUUCCUUCAUUUCAGGGUCUAAUGAGGGCUGGCGGCCGUAGCCAUUCUAGAAUUCCCAACAUGGAGUUCCAAAUUUUCUAGAAACAAUGAAGAUCUAGUAUUUUCAAGCUUUUAUCAGCUUAUAUUACACUCUCAAUGAUAAUUUUUUUUAAUUCUUUAGUAGCACACCAACUAACACUAAAGUAAGCCACCUGGCCAAGCGUGGUGGCAUGUGCCUGUGGUCCCAGCUACUUGGGAGGCUGAGACGGGAGCAUCCCUUAAGCCCGGGAGGUCGACGCUGCAGUAAGCUGUGAUUGUACCACUGCACUGCAGCCUGGGUGACAGAGAGAUACCAUUUUAAAAAUAAAAAUAAAAAAAAUUAAGCUACUCAAUUUGCAGGAGAUCAUGCAAAGGUAGACAGAGCAGGCUGGUCACUGGAGCCCAGGGCAACCUGCAGACAGAUGCACCUGCAGACAGACUUUUGCUGGCAUCAUCUCCCACUCUUCCUCUGGCUGGUCCUUCCCCCUGAUGUUAUUUUUAAUGGUCCUGUGUAUUGUUGUGGAGGUCACCUCACAUGUUUUCCUAGUGUAGUGAGAAUACUAACCAAAGGCUGAAAAGAAAUCAAAUGCAAUGCCAGUUGAAAGACCUGAGACAGACACACAGGGAAUGCCUAGGUGCCUGACAGGGAGAGAAGCUCUCAGUGUGCCAUGGACCACGUGGAUGCUUAUCAAGGAGACCUGCUAACCCAGCUAAGAGAUAGUGGCCCAGCAGGUCUCAGAGGAAAGGACCCUUCUGGCCCCAGGUGGCUUGGGGUCCCUCAUCAGCACUCCCGUCACACCUCACAACCAGGGCCACCACACCAGGAAUUCGUGUGCAGAUUGUGUCUUGUGUCUGUCUUGAAGGCAUCUAAAGGCACUUGGAACUAUACCUUUUGUCUCCCCAACACUAACAAAAUCUGUGGCAUGUUGUAAAUACUUGGUGAAUGAAUUCCUAAAAGUUUGAAUCUGGACCUUCAAGGGAAGACAAUAUAUGGCUAUGCAGUAUUCAGAGGAUAACCAGGCAGGAAGAUCAUCAAGGUCUAGAAACACACCAAGAAGAGAGACUACGGCAUUUCAGUGCAGGCCAGGGGUGGCACUGGUCAAAGGCACAUGUGGAACUGUGUCAGGCUGAAUAGAUGAGCCGGCACCCAGCCAAGAAGCACCACUUCCGCCACGCCUCCUCUGGAAAUGGCACCCUACUUCAUUCAGGUGACAAAAUAUGGCCCUCACACUCGAAUACUGACCGUCACUCAAGGCACCUCUGUCCAGUUCUUCCAAAUCCAGAACAGUUUCAGCGAUAGCAGACAAAUCCACACAUAACAUGUUAUGUUUGAUUAUUCAGAGAUGAUCAUUUAAACAAUGAUGUCACUGCUAUCAAUGUAAGGCAUCCGGUGGAGAUGCCUGUCUUAGACACCCCUAAAUUUGACCAACCUUGACUUCCAAUUUGCCCGAGGGCAUGGAGGACAUUUGAGACAGCAUGCCCAAAAAAUCAAAGUGAAAUGUCCUCCACUAUUAUUCCAGGAACUUCUUCUGAAGCACCACUUGGGAAAUGCAGUCUCCUCCAAGGACAGCACUCACGCUGGUGUCAGCCACAUACUCCAGCUGUACCCGGGUUGAGGACCAGUGCAGACCCUCUCCCCUGCAUGCCACAUUCAGAAAGCAGAGGAGGCCUUGUGUAAGGUAUGACUACAAAAUAACACAACUCUCAGAAUCACUACAGAUACAGCAGCAUCCAAAGUCCUCAUCCCCCACGUUUUAAAUUCUCAAAAUAACCACUUAAAAUUUUGAAAUUGGCUGGGCAUGGUGGCUUAUGCCUGUAAUCCCAGCACUUUGGGAGGCCAAGGCAGGUAGAUCAUGAGAUCAAGAGAUCGAGACCAUCCUGGCCAACAUGGUGAAACCCUGUCUCUACUAAAAAUACAAAAAUUAGCUGGAUGUGGUGGCGUGCCCCUGUAGUCCCAGUUACUCGGAGGCUGAGGCAGAAUAGCUUGAACCCAGGAGGCAGAGGUUGCAGUGAGCCAACGUCGCACUACUGCACUCCAGUCUGGUGACAGAGCGAGAUUCCACCUCAAAAAAAAAAAUGCAAUGAACACAUGUCAUCCUGCCCAAGCCAAAAGAAAGAUGGGAGCUAUUUUCUCAGCUGGUAGCAUAAUUGUAUUAUUCGCAGAGGCACACUGAAGACUCAGUGUCAGCUCGGUGCAGUUAGAAAGAACGCUGACGGUGGCAAAGCUAAAUGGUCUUUGUCAGGCAUUCUCCAGCAUUCAAACGGGUAAUAUUCCAUAGCGUCUUUCACUAAGUCAGUUCAUGCAGGGAGGCAGAAGCAGGAGGCAGCGCUCUCAAAGUCACAGGCUCCAAGUGAGCCAUGCUGAAGUUUAGUUUCAUGGUCGAGGUUGCCAACUAGUAACUUUUAUUCAUACAAUUUUCAAGUUAAAAUCUUUAUUUCCAGCUAGGCGCGGUGGCUCAUGCCUGUAAUCCCAGCACUUUGGGAGGCCGAGGCAGGCAGAUCACGAGGUCAGGAGAUCAAGACCAUCCUGGCUAACGCGGUGAAUCCCCAUCUCUACUAAAAAUACAAAAACAAAAAAUUAGCCAGGUGUGGUGGCAGGCACCUGUAGUCCCAGCUACUCGGGAGGCUGAGGCAGGAGAAUGGUGUGAACCCGGGAGGCGGAGGUUGCAGUGAGCCGAGAUUGUGCCACUGCACUCCAGCUUGGGCCACAGAGCAAGGCUCCAUCUCAAAAAAAAAAAAAAAAUCCUCACUUCCACACUUUCCCACGGUGCCCUGGGAUCUUGGC
rnacentral:lncRNA from 1 species